rnacentral:rRNA from 2 species
AACGAACGCUGGCGGCGUGCCUUAAGCAUGCAAGUCGUACGGGGUAUGGCUAAAGUCAUACCUAGUGGCGAACGGGUGAGUAACACGUAGUUAGGCAACCUAGAGACGGGGAUAGCCACGGGAGACCGUGGGUAAUACCCGAUAGUCCCUAAGGGGUAAAGGGAGCGAUCCGCUUUAGGAGCUGACUGCGGCCCAUCAGGUAGUUGGUGGGGUAAAGGCCUACCAAGCCUAUGACGGGUAGCCGGCCUGAGAGGGUGUACGGCCACACUGGGACUGAGACACGGCCCAGACUCCUACGGGAGGCAGCAGCUAGGAAUUUUCCGCAAUGGGCGAAAGCCUGACGGAGCGACGCCGCGUGGGGGAAGAAGGUCCUACGGGAUUGUAAACCUCUUUUCUGCGGGAGGAGAAAGGACUGUACCGCAGGAAUAAGUCCCGGCAAACUACGUG